AUAGAUUGAUGAAUUGAAUUGGGGAAGAAGAUUAUACCUUCAAAAGAACAACUUGGCUUGAAACAAAAGCUUGCAGUUUCUGGCUUCCCCCUUUCUACUGCUCCCUCCGCCGUUUUUGUGAAGAGGAAGAUAUGCCAGAAUGGGUGAAGAGAUGGAGACGUAAUUGCUGCGACGUGGGAGGGGAGCAAAUUUUGAAUGGAGGAUUCAACGUGA